GCGAACGGGUGAGUAACACGUGAGUAACCUGCCCUUAACUCUGGGAUAAGCCUGGGAAACUGGGUCUAAUACCGGAUAUGACUCCUCAUCGCAUGGUGGGGGGUGGAAAGCUUUUUGUGGUUUUGGAUGGACUCGCGGCCUAUCAGCUUGUUGGUGAGGUAAUGGCUCACCAAGGCGACGACGGGUAGCCGGCCUGAGAGGGUGACCGGCCACACUGGGACUGAGACACGGCCCAGACUCCUACGGGAGGCAGCAGUGGGGAAUAUUGCACAAUGGGCGCAAGCCUGAUGCAGCGACGCCGCGUGAGGGAUGACGGCCUUCGGGUUGUAAACCUCUUUCAGUAGGGAAGAAGCGAAAGUGACGGUACCUGCAGAAGAAGCGCCGGCUAACUACGUGCCAGCAGCCGCGGUAAUACGUAGGGCGCAAGCGUUAUCCGGAAUUAUUGGGCGUAAAGAGCUCGUAGGCGGUUUGUCGCGUCUGCCGUGAAAGUCCGGGGCUCAACUCCGGAUCUGCGGUGGGUACGGGCAGACUAGAGUGAUGUAGGGGAGACUGGAAUUCCUGGUGUAGCGGUGAAAUGCGCAGAUAUCAGGAGGAACACCGAUGGCGAAGGCAGGUCUCUGGGCAUUAACUGACGCUGAGGAGCGAAAGCAUGGGGAGCGAACAGGAUUAGAUACCCUGGUAGUCCAUGCCGUAAACGUUGGGCACUAGGUGUGGGGGACAUUCCACGUUUUCCGCGCCGUAGCUAACGCAUUAAGUGCCCCGCCUGG
rnacentral:rRNA from 1 species